rnacentral:rRNA from 1 species
CCUACGGGAGGCAGCAGUGAGGAAUAUUGGUCAAUGGACGAGAGUCUGAACCAGCCAAGUAGCGUGAAGGAUGACUGCCCUAUGGGUUGUAAACUUCUUUUAUAUGGGAAUAAAAUGUUCCACGUGUGGGAUUUUGUAUGUACCAUCAGAAAAAGGACCGGCUAAUUCCGUGCCAGCAGCCGCGGUAAUACGGAAGGUCCGGGCGUUAUCCGGAUUUAUUGGGUUUAAAGGGAGCGUAGGCCGGCUUUUAAGUCAGCUGUGAAAGUCCGCGGCUCAACCGUGGAAUUGCAGUUGAAACUGGAGGCCUUGAGUGCACACAGGGAUGCCGGAAUUCAUGGUGUAGCGGUGAAAUGCUUAGAUAUCAUGAAGAACUCCGAUCGCGAAGGCAAGUGUCCGGGGUGCAACUGACGCUGAGGCUCGAAAGUGCGGGUAUCAAACAGGAUUAGAUACCCCUGUAGUC